UUGCAUGUGAAAAUGCCUGCUUCUCAUUCCUUUAGGGGCAGGAAUACAUCCAUAACAUGCUACAUUAAAAAGGAAAAAAGGAGUCUUCAAGGCUACCAAACUUACAUUAGAGGUUGAGUAGUAGUAUAUUUCUCCUACACAA
ensembl:snoRNA